rnacentral:rRNA from 1 species
UACAACGCACUACCUGUUCAUAGUAGUCGUUGCUGUCAACAGCACACUGCUCACCAUCAACGCAGGGGACUACAUCUUCUACACAGACUGGGCGUGGACGUCCUUCGUUGUGUUCUCGGUGUCGCCCUCACCGUUAAGUACUGUAGACGUGCCACACUACUUGUUAUUUACACAUCUUCCAGCUACCUCAACAUAUUACACCCAUAUCUUGACCUACUACCCAUUGCGCUCAAAAAUCCCAGGUUUUACACCUCGACACCCCAUCGCAUUCGUUCAGGGCGACAAGACGCAGCAAGCACGCUGGCAUACUGGUUGGCGGGACGCUGGUUGGCCUUUCCUUCCCGCUGAUCAACAUGGUCAACCUGUUGCUUGUAAGGGACCCGCUCGGGGUGGCCUUCAAGUAUCCGGGACCGACUCUGCCCGCGUACAUGCCGCCUAUAGAGCCUCAGGUAGGGAAGUUCUACAACUCGCCUGUCGCCCUGGGUUCAGGUGCCGGUGCAGUGCUAACGGUACCCAGAGCUGCGUUGGGUGCAAAACUAAACACGUGG